rnacentral:lncRNA from 1 species
CAAAGGCGAGUUUGAAUUGGACAUUGUGCAUGCCAAUCUCCGCGAACAGCUCAGUGCCUGCUCUUUGUUUUCCCUGGGUUUCUCUCGCCCAGCGGUUUCCAAAGCCACAGCUCGUGGAAUAUUUGUAGGCGCCCGCUAUUGGUGAAGCGUCUUCAUCUGUCAAAUACGUAGGCGGGACUCGGUUUGCUGCGGCUCCUGGGCUAGGGAGGCUGAAACUGCACUUCUCUGUUUCAUAGCAAGAGCAUCUCUUAGCAAGCAGUCACAGUAACGGUGUCUCAGCGCCAGGAUCGGGAGAACUGUGGGACCUGACAAACAUCACCAUUCGCACAGGAGCGUAUAAUUCUCCACUGUUUAAAUUGCACGCCUCACCUGGAUACACCACAGUCUUCAUAAGGAAAAGAAGCGAGACGAGUUGCCAGCUCACUUAGCUGAAGGAAAGGAGAAGAAUGAUUCUCAAGCAGCAUUUACUUAUUCUUUACAGCUUCUGUGGGAUCGUUUUAAAAGGAAACAUCAUAUUACACCCCCUUACUCUGUGACACCGUAUUGGACCUGUUUAGAAUCCCUGGUACAGAAGAAAGGCUGUCAGCUACUUGUCCACCAACACUACGCCUGGUG